rnacentral:rRNA from 1 species
UACAGAGGGGGCAAGCGUUAUUCGGAAUUAUUGGGCGUAAAGGGUGCGUAGGCGGCCAGGUAAGUCAGGAGUGAAAGUUUGCGGCUCAACCGUAAAAUUGCUUUUGAUACUGCCAGGCUAGAAUUAGGAUGAGGUCAGCGGAAUGUGGCAUGUAGCGGUGAAAUGCAUAGAUAUGCCAUAGAACACCAAUUGCGAAGGCAGCUGGCUAGACCUGGAUUGACGCUGAGGCACGAAAGCGUGGGGAGCGAACAGG